ensembl:lncRNA
GUGGGCGUGUCUGGAGGGGUCCAGAGCCGGGAGGACACGUGGGCUGAGGGGGUGGGGUGCGGCUGGCUCCCGGAGGGGGUCCUGCUAUGUCUGGCCUUGGAACAUGAGGGUCUUGUCUGCCACCAUCCGGCCUUUCUGGGCUGUCCGGGUGUCCAGUCAACACAGCUUGGCUCCCAGGAGGGACCAGCGCUCCUCUCAGCGGAGGCUGCGGGGCCCCCUUGUCCGCUCUGCGGGGCAGCAAGAAGAGAGGGUGCGCUUCCUUUGCUCUGCUGGCUCCCUGUCCUCAGAGCGACGCCCGGCGGGCACGUCUGCAGAGCUAGCUGCGGGCGGUCAGCCAGGGCUGGGGUGGUGCUGAGGCUGUCUGCCAGCCUCUGCCCUCCCCUUCCCUCUUCUCUUUCCAUUCCAGGUUUCAGGGAGUUACUUUCACCCGUUCCCACCUCUCUGAGGGGUGGGCGGGUGCAGGACGGCUCUGCGUGGUUUUCAGGUGUUUUCAUCUGGAUGCACAUCGGUGGGCGUUCCGCAGGCAGAUCAACUGAUGAAGCUUUUCAUCAUAACGAUAAUGUCGGCAACCGCAAACUACUGGAGUCUGCGAAGUGCUGUGCACGUUACCCUGGAGGCCUGGCAGCAGGGUUGGGGGCUGUCAGCUGUUUCACAGGUGAGGGAGCAGGACUCACGGGAGAGAAAUCCCCUCAAGUGCUCAGACUUGGGGUUUCAGGGACACCGUGUCAUGCUCAGAGGUGGCUGCAGCCUGGGCCCUUUCCUGGGCUAUCUGUUUAUUUCAGAAAUAUUCCUUAGGCCAACUUCCCCCAGAAGGUAGGGGGGACUGUUAGGAGGCUGGCGCUGGAGGCCUCCAAGUUCUCCCCUUGUAAGCCCCCCACUGAUGCUGAAGCUCCAAUCCUUUGGCCACCUGAUGCAAAGAGGUGACUCAUUGGAAAAGACCCUGAUGCUAGGAAAGAUUGAAGGCAGGAGGAGAAGGGGAAGACAGAGGAUGAGAUAGUUGGGUGGCAUCACCGAUUCAACGGACAUGAGUUUGAGCAUGCUCUGGGAGUUGGCGAUGGACAAGGAAGCCUGGUGUGCUGUGGUCCAUGGGAUUAUGAAGAGUCAGACACGACUGAGUGAUGGAACAAAAAUUGAACAGGCCCCACCUCAGAUCCAUGCCAGCGGGUAUCAGGAGGAGAAGCCCUGGAGGAACUGGAGGAAGCCAACUGGAGCCUCAGACACGCGAGCGGCUGUGUCCCACUGGGGCGGCAGCAGUGGCCUCUGGAGGAACCUCCAGCUCCUCCUCCGCCACCAGCAUAGCGUCCAGACAGAAGCCAGAACUACCCAUGAAACAUCACGCAGUGUGACAUAACUGGGUCACCGAGUGGUCAGAUAUUUGGUCCGACUUUAUUCUGGGUGUUUCUGGGUGAGAACAGGUGAUUCUGUGCACCUCUCCAGGCGGGCCUUGUCUGAUCAGCGGAGGGCUGCGUCCGGGCACCCACCUGGCUCCUGCCCACUUUCUUCCCGUUCUUCUUGCUGACCAACACGUGUCUUCCGGGCUGGCAGGGAUGUGGUCUGUACCAAGAAUACUGCCCGGCUCAGAGCAAGGGAAGCCACACCUGAGAGGGCAACAGGCAGGAAGGCCAGGGGUCUCCAAACCCAGGAGACAGGCUGCAAGUGUCAGACACUUUUUCUCUCUCUCUUAAGCGGCAGGAGGAAACAAGUGUUAGCUUUUCUCCCUUCUCUAUCCAAAUCUAAAGAGGCUUCUUUUAAAAUUCUGUGUUGCCAUGAUGACACCUGGUUCCACCUGAACUUUUCUCAAACCUGGAGCUAAACAAUGCGUUUUUCUUGUGGAAACGUUUGUCUUAAGCUAUGUUAAUGAACUGUGUAUUUACCCUAGACUCUGUCUUCAAAUCGGUUCUGCCUGAGACUCAGGACCAACUGACAAACCGGCGUUUGUACUCAUGCACUGCUCUCGUAAGCUAUGUUAGUGAGACUGCGUUUGCUUGGAAACUUGCCUUUCUUCAAGAUUCACGUUAAUCGUCUUAUGGCUCAGGAUGACCCACCUGGUGCCAAUGUUAUCUCAAAAUGCAUGUGUGGGUGAGGGGUCUGGUGCCCUUCUCUGAGUUUUGAGACUUUUCCUUUUUCUAAUUAGCAGACCGCUAGUAGCUAUAUAACAUUCAGCUAAAGACUGGCCCGGGGCACUCUUGCGGCCCCCUUCUGAUGUCUAUGUCAGAAGCUUUCUCUAUCUCUUUUAUACUUUAAUAAAACUUUAUUACACAGAAGCUCUGAGCGAUCA